rnacentral:rRNA from 1 species
GGUUAAGUGACUAAGCGUACACGGUGGAUGCCUUGGCAGUCAGAGGCGAUGAAGGACGUAGUAACUUGCGAUAAGCUCAGAUUAGGCAGUAACAGCCACUUGAGUCUGAGAUUUCCGAAUGGGGAAACCCAACUGCAUAAGCAGUUACUGUUAACUGAAUACAUAGGUUAACAGGGCGAACCGGGGGAACUGAAACAUCUAAGUACCCCGAGGAGAAGAAAUCAACCGAGAUUCCGAUAGUAGCGGCGAGCGAAAUUGGAUUAGCCCUUAAGCUUUACAUGCGUCAGGUGAAGGUUCUGGAAAGGACCGCGAAACAGGGUGAUAGCCCCGUAGCCGACAGCGCAUGUUCAGUGAAAUCGAGUAGGGCGGGACACGUGUUAUCCUGUCUGAAUAUGGGGGGACCAUCCUCCAAGGCUAAAUACUCCUGACUGACCGAUAGUGAACCAGUACCGUGAGGGAAAGGCGAAAAGAACCCCUGUGAGGGGAGUGAAAUAGAACCUGAAACCGUGUACGUACAAGCAGUAGGAGCCUCUUCGUGGGGUGACUGCGUACCUUUUGUAUAAUGGGUCAGCGACUUAUAUUCAGUGGCAAGGUUAACCAUUUAGGGGAGCCGUAGGGAAACCGAGUCUUAACUGGGCGUU